CGUAAAUUGUCCCAGUCAAUGGAUGAAUUUAAUCUGUCAAUCAAUGGCCACAGCCACACUGUUUUGAAUUUCAUUCUAUUGUUUUCUAUUUUAAACUACUGCGCAUGCAUGUAUACUUGUCAUUUUUUUUAUCUAUAUCUGCAACCCUAUUUGAAAAUUAUACCAUACGUAUUUUUUAUGUGUUUAUUCUUUUAUCAACAUUUUCUGUUUUUCUGUUUUGGGAAAUUUGUUUUUCCUACAUGUAACUGUCAUCCUACCACAAAGACAAAUAUGUUUAUGUAUAUAUAUAU
rnacentral:lncRNA from 1 species